GAAAUAAUUUAAAGUGAAUUUCUAACUCACUGUCUAUGAUUAAUCAAUCAUUUAUUUCU
rnacentral:tRNA from 1 species